UCGCUGUAAGCUCUAAGACAGGCAU
rnacentral:piRNA from 1 species